rnacentral:rRNA from 1 species
AUUGAACGCUGGCGGCAGGCUUAACACAUGCAAGUCGAGCGGAGAGAGGUAGCUUGCUACUGAUCUUAGCGGCGGACGGGUGAGUAAUGCUUAGGAAUCUGCCUAUUAGUGGGGGACAACAUUUCGAAAGGAAUGCUAAUACCGCAUACGUCCUACGGGAGAAAGCAGGGGAUCUUCGGACCUUGCGCUAAUAGAUGAGCCUAAGUCGGAUUAGCUAGUUGGUGGGGUAAAGGCCUACCAAGGCGACGAUCUGUAGCGGGUCUGAGAGGAUGAUCCGCCACACUGGGACUGAGACACGGCCCAGACUCCUACGGGAGGCAGCAGUGGGGAAUAUUGGACAAUUGGCGGAAGCCUGAUCUAGCCAUGCCGCGUGUGUGAAGAAGGCCUUAUGGUUGUAAAGCACUUUAAGCGAGGAGGAGGCUACUUUAGUUAAUACCUAGAGAUAGUGGACGUUACUCGCAGAAUAAGCACCGGCUAACUCUGUGCCAGCCGCCGCAGUAA